rnacentral:tRNA from 1 species
AAGGUAUUAGUAAAAUUAUCACAUAACUUUGUCAAAGUUAACUUAUAGGUUANACCCCUAUAUAUCUUC